rnacentral:rRNA from 1 species
UCGGCAACGGAUAUCUCGGCUCUCGCAUCGAUGAAGAACGUAGCAAAAUGCGAUACUUGGUGUGAAUUGCAGAAUCACGUGAACCAUCGAGUCUUUGAACGCAAGUUGCGCCCGAAGCCUUUUGGCCGAGGGCACGUCUGCCUGGGUGUCACACAACGUCG